rnacentral:pre_miRNA from 1 species
AGCAGCCAGAGCCUUCCCUCAAUGUCUGUUUUACAGAGAGCAAGGCUGAGGCUGUUCU